UCCUCGGAUCAUCCUAGAAGCCCGUCUCUGAACCUGUUCCAGUUUGAAUUCAUCCUUCCUAAACAUGGAGACCAGAACCUGCACCACAGUAUUCCAGGUAAGGAUGCAAAUAGCAACCUU